GUGGGGAAUAUUGGACAAUGGGCGCAAGCCUGAUCCAGCAAUGCCGCGUGGGUGAAGAAGGUCUUCGGAUCGUAAAGCCCUUUCGACAGGGACGAUGAUGACGGUACCUGUAGAAGAAGCCCCGGCUAACUUCGUGCUAGCAGCCGCGGUAAUACGAAGGGGGCUAGCGUUACUCGGAAUUACUGGGCGUAAAGGGCGCGUAGGCGGCUCUGUUAGUCAGGCGUGAAAUUCCUGGGCUUAACCUGGGGACUGCGCUUGAUACUGCAGGGCUUGAGGCCGAGAGAGGGUGGUGGAAUUCCCAGUGUAGAGGUGAAAUUCGUAGAUAUUGGGGAGAACACCGGUGGCGAAGGCGACCACCUGGCUCGGUUCUGACGCUGAGGCGCGACAGCGUGGGGAGCAAACAGGAUUAGAAACCCGUGUAGUCC
rnacentral:rRNA from 1 species